UGUUUUUUAUUCUUUUUUUUUUUAAUGUUUAUUUUAGAGAAAGAGACAGUGCGAGUGGGGGAGGGGCAGAAAGAGAGAGAGAGAGACAGACAGACAGACAGACAGAAUCCAAAGCAGGUUCCAGGCUCCGAGCUGUCAGCACAGAGCCCGACGUGGGGCUCGAACUCAGGAAGCGCGAGAUCGUGACCUGACCCGAGAUCGGCGCUUAACCGACUGAGCCACCCAGGUGCCCCAUAAAUGUGCGUUGUCACUGUGCAGAAAAAAAAAAAAAAAACACUUUGGAAUGGAGCCAGUGGGAGGAAAGCAGAGGUAGAUGUGGACGGAGACAAAGCCUUUGUGAUACUGCUCACUUGAGCACCUGGAUCCAGCCAUGCCUGAAACUGGUCAUCUACCCCUGGACGUUCCACUCAUGUAAAAUUCAGUAACUUCUCUCCUCAAGGAAGCCUUCCCUACCCACACCGGAUGGCUUCUGCCCGCUACACCACUCUCCCAACUUACCCUUUGGUUUUAUCCUCUUCCAGCGUUCUUUAGCGUCUUGAGUGUCAUGAUACGGCGUGUGUGUUCGAGCCCCACGUCGGGCUCUAUGCUGCCAGUGUGGAGCCUGCUUGGAACUCUCUCUUCCUCUCUCUGCUCCUCAUGCAUUCU